AUGGACGGAAACAGCAUUAUGGUCAAUUCACGUGUACUUAACAGAAUAAAUGGAUGGGGUUAACGGAGGUGGACUGAAAUGGUUACGAAAGUGAAACCACAGGGACUGAAAUCGUAAUUUUUAAACUAAUGGACUGAAAUAGUGAUUUUUGACAAACCACAGGGACGAAAACAGUAAUUAACUCCUCAAAACUCAUAUAUAGACUAAUAACACGAGUAUCAUUUCCAAGCUGAAAGGUAUUCCAUUUGACACUCAAGUCUUAUGUCAAGAUUUACUUCAAGAUGAAAUGAGUAACUCUACAUACAUUUUCUAAAACGGAGGGAAGGGAUGUUUAAAAGUAACCCACCCCCCACACACGGAAAAAUUGCGAUAACAUAGUUAUUCAAGUUCUAUCAAAAAAAAAAUGGCAUUCAUUCAUGGUUAUAUAACUUCAAGCAAAAGCUUUUUAACUUGUUUCACAAAUAAAAUCAAAAAAAAACAGAAAAAGGCAAAUAUAAACUCAAGGAAAGCAGAUUUUUAGUCAUUCAUUCAAUGCUUUUUAAUUAUAUAAGCAUCUCAAGAGAAACAAACAAUUAACAAGCAGCAGUGCAACACAAUGUUAUCCGCAUCCGGCAUUACACAGAUGGUUAGCUUUCCUCUAAUCAUCAGUACUUCCUCAAUUUUACCAAAAAAAAAGAAUAGUAAUUCCUUAUGUUUAUAAAAAGAUCAGUAUUUUAGGUAUUGAGUACUUUUACUUUGGGAAGAAAUUCAAAUAAAUUCAAUCAAUUCGAUCACGAAACGCUAAUGGAAACUUCUGUUACAAAUUCAACA
rnacentral:lncRNA from 1 species